GACGAACCGUGCGAACGUUGUUCGGAAUCACUGGGCUUAAAGGGCGCGUAGGCGGCUGUUCAAGUCCGGGGUGAAAGCCCCCAGCUCAACUGGGGAAGUGCCUCGGAUACUGGAUGGCUCGAGGGAGGUAGGGGCAGGGGGAACUUCUGGUGGAGCGGUGAAAUGCGUUGAUAUCAGAAGGAACGCCGGUGGCGAAAGCGCCCUGCUGGAUCUCUACUGACGCUGAGGCGCGAAAGCCAGGGGAGCGAACAGG
rnacentral:rRNA from 1 species